rnacentral:rRNA from 1 species
CCCAGAGAAAUUUGGAUUAAUACCCCAUAGUAUGCUGAAUUGGCAUCAGUUUAGUAUUAAAGAUUUAUCGAUAUAAGAUGGCUAUGCGUUCUAUUAGCUAGUUGGUAAGGUAACGGCUCACCAAGGCGACGAUAGAUAGGGGUCCUGAGAGGGAGAUCCCCCACACUGGUACUGAGACACGGACCAGACUCCUACGGGAGGCAGCAGUGAGGAAUAUUGGACAAUGGAGGCAACUCUGAUCCAGCCAUGCCGCGUGCAGGAAGACUGCCCUAUGGUUGUAAACUGCUUUUAUAGAGGAAGAAACCGCUCUACGUGUAGAGCUCUGACGGUACUCUACGAAUAAGGAUCGGCUAACUCCGUGCCAGCAGCCGCGGUAAUACGGAGGAUCCAAGCGUUAUCCGGAAUCAUUGGGUUUAAAGGGUCCGUAGCGGGCUUAUAAGUCAGUGGUGAAAGUUUGCGGCUC